ACCACCACGUACCCUGAGGGGGAGAAGAGACAAGGUUUAUAACCACCACGUACCCUGAGGGGGGAGAAGAGACAAGGUUUAUAACCACCACGUACCCUGAGGGGAGAAGAGACAAGGUUUAUAACCGAUACCACCACGUACCCUGAGGGGGAGAAGAGACAAGGUUUAUAACCACCACGUACCCUGAGGGGGAGAAGAGACAAGGUUUAUAACCACCACGUACCCUGAGGGGGAGAAGAGACAAGGUUUAUAACCACCACGUACCCUGAGAGGGAGAAGACACAAGGUUUAUAACCACCACGUACCCUGAGGGGGAGAAGAGACAAGGUUUAUAACCACCACGUACCCUGAGGGGGAGAAGAGACAAGGUUUAUAACCACCACGUACCCUGAGGAGGGAGAAGAGACAAGGUUUAUAACCACCACGUACCCUGAGGGGGAGAAGAGACAAGGUUUAUAACCACCACGUACCCUGAGGGGGAGAAGAGACAAGGUUUAUAACCGACACCACCACGUACCCUGAGGGGGAGAAGAGACAAGGUUUAUAACCACCACGUACCCUGAGGGGGAGAAGACACAAGGUUUAUAACCACCACGUACCCUGAGGGGGAGAAGACACAAGGUUUAUAACCACCACGUACCCUGAGGGGGAGAAGACACAAGGUUUAUAACCACCACGUACCCUGAGGGGGAGAAGACACAAGGUUUAUAACCACCACGUACCCUGAGGGGGAGAAGACACAAGGUUUAUAACCACCACGUACCCUGAGGGGGAGAAGAGACAAGGUUUAUAACCACCACGUACCCUGAGGGGGAGAAGAGACAAGGUUUAUAACCACCACGUACCCUGAGGGGGAGAAGACACAAGGUUUAUAACCACCACGUACCCUGAGGGGGAGAAGAGACAAGGUUUAUAACCACCACGUACCCUGAGGGGGGAGAAGAGACAAGGUUUAUAACCACCACGUACCCUGAGAGGGAAAAGAGCAGGGAGUUAAAGAAAGAUUGAGGGAACUAGAGAGGGAAGAGCAGAGACAAGGUUUGGGAGGUUUCCAGUAGUUCAUACCGGUUCCGUCCCUUUGGUUUAGUUGUUGGGAGGUACUCAAGAUUUUCCAUAUGAUUUCCGUUAAAAUACAGUCAAUCAACGAAACAGAGGUCAUAUCAUUGGUGCACAGUGAUGUCAUUACUUGUGGUCUUCAAAUCGGUUUCUUUCGGUCAAUACGUCCCGCGAAAUGGCCCAUCACGUUUGGUUGUGUUACAAACAAACCAGUUGAUUGCAGUGAAACCAAACACGACUGGAAAAGUCACGUUCUGUGUGGGUUAUUUACCUGGAAUUCACGACACAAGCGGUUCACAAAAUGUUUCGUGUUGGGCUAAUAAAAACAGAUUUUAUCAAACAAACGAUCAUUCAUUGUGUAACAAUUGGGAUUGGGAUUGCAAACAGACGAAGAUCAUCAAAGGUAAACAAUUUAUUUUAAUGCAGUUUGUGAUUGUUACACCUGUGCUGGUUGAAAUAGUUUUUUUUAUGGGGCUCUAUUCUCGGAUAAUCGCAUCGUAUUCUAUCGCAGUAAAUCCUGUUUUAAAUCUGACAACGCAGUUGGAUUAGCAAGAUUCUAGGCUUCCGAUACAUGUGAGACACUUGUAUUUUCAUGAAUGUUUAAUAUGACUAUUUAGGUAGCGAUCACCAUGUGUUGUGGACUUUCAGCGGGUAGCUAGCGGGUUCCGUGCUCAGAGAGGGUAAAGAAGAAAGGGUCUAAUCCAUCUAACACAGAGAGGUUAAUAUAAUCAUAAGCUUUCUUUUUUAGGGAGACGCACAAAACAAGUUAGGCAGCAGGGAUUUUGAUCCAGGAAUGGGGGUUGAACAUCUCUGCUGUAAUCAAGAAGCUUGGGCUGUGUUUCAAACUCAAAGUAGACACGCCCUCAGCCCUAACACGCCCUCAGCCCUAACACGCCCUCAGCCCUAACACGCCCU